AACGAACCCUGGCGGCAUGCCUAACACAUGCAAGUCGAACGAGACCUUCGGGUCUAGUGGCGCACGGGUGCGUGACGCGUGGGAAUCUGCCCUUGGGUUCGGAAUAACAGUUAGAAAUGACUGCUAAUACCGGAUGAUGACUUCGGUCCAAAGAUUUAUCGCCCAGGGAUGAGCCCGCGUAGGAUUAGCUUGUUGGUGAGGUAAAAGCUCACCAAGGCGACGAUCCUUAGCUGGUCUGAGAGGAUGAUCAGCCACACUUGGACUGAGACACGGCCCAGACUCCUACGGGAGGCAGCAGUGGGGAAUAUUGGACAAUGGGCGAAAGCCUGAUCCAGCAAUGCCGCGUGAGUGAUGAAGGCCUUAGGGUUGUAAAGCUCUUUUACCCGGGAUGAUAAUGACAGUACCGGGAGAAUAAGCCCCGGCUAACUCCGUGCCAGCCGCCGCGGUAACAC
rnacentral:rRNA from 1 species